CUGGUGCAGUAGAGUCCUAACGUCACACAGAAGGGAUGUUUAUUGGAAACAGAAGCUCAUUAAACAGUGGUAUUUCACUUUCCACAGUCCAGGAUUUCUGUCUUUCAAUAGAAACCUUUCACAAGGGGAAAAGAACUCAGCUAUUUUGUCUUCAUAUCUGGCUAUUAAAAAAUCCCAGCAGAUGAAGAAGAUGGCUAGAACAGUGAGUACAAAAAGCGCCAGGGCUCUCUGAAAAUUCAGGACACAUGCUGCGAUGACUAUCAUCAGGUCGGAGACCUCAAAAGGAAGCUCAUAAAAGGACAGAAUGGAACAACCCAAUUUACUGCACAAUCAGGAGAGGGACAAACAGGACCAUUUGAAUGAGUUCUCUACGUAUGCUGGAAUGCUGAAGCUUUAUGGCAUGACGUCUCCAUAAAGAAACACUUUGGCGUGGGCACUGAAUGGCUCAGAUACCUAGAAGUAUACACAAGCAACCAAAGCAAACAGAACAAAGAAAUAAAUUCCACCAAAGCAGAAAGAAGAGUAAUUCAUAUAGGAACAUUGCAGAAG